rnacentral:rRNA from 1 species
GAUGAACGCUGGCGGCGUGCCUAAUACAUGCAAGUCGAGCGAACAGACGAGGAGCUUGCUCCUCUGACGUUAGCGGCGGACGGGUGAGUAACACGUGGAUAACCUACCUAUAAGACUGGGAUAACUUCGGGAAACCGGAGCUAAUACCGGAUAAUAUAUUGAACCGCAUGGUUCAAUAGUGAAAGACGGUUUUGCUGUCACUUAUAGAUGGAUCCGCGCCGCAUUAGCUAGUUGGUAAGGUAACGGCUUACCAAGGCAACGAUGCGUAGCCGACCUGAGAGGGUGAUCGGCCACACGGGAACUGAGACACGGUCCAGACUCCUACGGGAGGCAGCAGUAGGGAAUCUUCCGAAAUGGGCGAAAGCCUGACGGAGCAACGCCGCGUGAGUGAUGAAGGUCUUCGGAUCGUAAAACUCUGUUAUUAGGGAAGAACAAAUGUGUAAGUAACUAUGCACGUCUUGACGGUACCUAAUCAGAAAGCCACGGCUAACUACG